rnacentral:snoRNA from 1 species
AUUCCGUGAUGAGGGCACUUCCAUCAUAAUUAUUUGUACCUUUCCCAUGCCUCAUACAAUGACUUGUCAUCCAUUUGUUGGAAAGCAGUGAUCUUGUUCCUCAACUU